rnacentral:rRNA from 1 species
UACGAAGGGUGCAAGCGUUACUCGGAAUUACUGGGCGUAAAGCGUGCGUAGGUGGUCGUUUAAGUCCGUUGUGAAAGCCCUGGGCUCAACCUGGGAACUGCAGUGGAUACUGGGCGACUAGAGUGUGGUAGAGGGUAGCGGAAUUCCUGGUGUAGCAGUGAAAUGCGUAGAGAUCAGGAGGAACAGCCAUGGCGAAGGCAGCUACCUGGACCAACACUGACACUGAGGCACGAAAGCGUGGGGAGCAAACAGGAUUAGAUACCCUGGUAGUCCACGCCCUAAACGAUGCGAACUGGAUGUUGGGUGCACUUUGGCACGCAGUCUCGAAGCUAACGCGUUACGUUCGCCGCCUGGGGAGUACGGUCGCAAGACUGAA